rnacentral:rRNA from 1 species
AGUGAACGCUGGCGGCAUGCCUAACACAUGCAAGUCGAACGGCAGCACAGUAAGAGCUUGCCUUUACGGGUGGCGAGUGGCGGACGGGUGAGGAAUACAUCGGAAUCUACUUUUUCGUGGGGGAUAACGUAGGGACACUUACGCUAAUACCGCAUAUGAUCUACGGGUGAAUGCAGUGGAUCUUGGGACCUUGCGCGAUUGAAUUAGCCGAUGUCGGAUUAGCUAGUUGGCGGGGUAAAGGCCCACCAAGGCGACGAUCCGUAGCUGGUCUGAGAGGAUGAUCAGCCACACUGGAACUGAGACACGGUCCAGACUCCUACGGGAGGCAGCAGUGGGGAAUAUUGGGCAAUGGGCGAAAGCCUGACCCAGCCAUGCCGCGUGGGUGAAGAAGGCCUUCGGGUUGUAAAGCCCUUUUGUUGGGAAAGAAAAGCAGCAGGUUAAUACCCCGCUGUUCUGACGGUACCCAAAGAAUAAGCAACGGCUAACUUCGUG